rnacentral:rRNA from 1 species
UUGGUAGAGUAAUGGCCUACCAAGGCGACGAUGGUUAGCUGGUCUGAGAGGAUGAUCAGCCACGCUGGAACUGACACACGGUCCAGACUCCUACGGGAGGCAGCAGUGAGGAAUUUUGCGCAAUGGGGGCAACCCUGACGCAGCAACGCCGCGUGAGUGAAGAAGGCUUUCGGGUCGUAAAACUCUGUCAAGUGGGAAGAACCUGCAAUAUGCCAAUACCAUAUUGCACUGACGGUACCACUGAAGGAAGCACCGGCUAACUCCGUGCCAGCAGCCGCGGUAAUACGGGGGGUGCAAGCGUUAUUCGGAAUCAUUGGGCGUAAAGGGCGCGUAGGCGGCCAGUUAAGUCAGAUGUGAAAGCCCGGGGCUCAACCCCGGAAGUGCAUUUGAAACUAAUUGGCUUGAGUAUGGGAGAGGGAAGUGGAAUUCCUGGUGUAGCGGUGAAAUGCGUAGAUAUCAGGAGGAACACCGGUGGCGAAGGCGACUUCCUGGACCAAUACUGACGCUGAGGCGCGAAGGCGUGGGGAGCAAACAGGAUUAGAUACCCUGGUAGUCCACGCAGUAAACGGUGAUCACUAGGUGUAGCGGGUAUUGACCCCUGCUGUGCCGCAGCUAACGCACUAAGUGAUCCGCCUGGGGAGUACGGCCGCAAGGUUAAAACUCAAAUUGACGGGGGCCCGCACAAGCGGUGGAGCAUGUGGUUUAAUUCGACGCAACGCGAAGAACCUUACCUGGAUUUGACAUCUCGGGAAUUCUAUCGAAAGACUGAAGUGCCCUUCGGGGAACCCGAAGACAGGUGCUGCAUGGCUGCCGUCAGCUCGUGUCGUGAGAUGUUGGGUUAAGUCCCGCAACGAGCGCAACCCCUAUCUUUAGUUACCAUCAUUCAGUUGGGGACUCUAGAGAUACUGCCCCGGUUAACGGGGAGGAAGGUGGGGAUGACGUCAAGUCCUCAUGGCCUUUAUGUCCAGGGCUACACACGUGCUACAAUGGUAUGUACAAAGGGUUGCAAUCCCGCGAGGGGGAGCCAAUCUCAAAAAGCAUAUCUCAGUUCGGAUUGGAGUCUGCAACUCGACUCCAUGAAGUUGGAAUCGCUAGUAAUCGCGGAUCAGCAUGCCGCGGUGAAUACGUUCCCGGGCCUUGUACACACCGCCCGUCACACCAUGAGAGUUGGUUGUACCCGACGUCGCUGGGCCAACCCUUCGGGGGGGCAGGCGCCUAAGGUAUGGCUGAUGAUUGGGGUGAAGUCGUAACAAGGUAGCCGUUGGGGAACCAGCGGCUG